GUGUCAGCAGCCGCGGUAAUACGGAGGGUGCGAGCGUUAAUCGGAAUGACUGGGCGUAAAGGGCAUGUAGGCGGAUAAUUAAGUUAGGUGUGAAAGCCCUGGGCUCAACCUAGGAAUUGCACUUAAAACUGGUUAACUAGAGUAUUGUAGAGGAAGGUAGAAUUCCACGUGUAGCGGUGAAAUGCGUAGAGAUGUGGAGGAAUACCGGUGGCGAAGGCGGCCUUCUGGACAGAUACUGACGCUGAGAUGCGAAAGCGUGGGGAGCAAACAGGAUUAGAUACCCUGGUAGUCCACGCUGUAAACGAUGUCGAUUUGGAGUUUGUUGCCUAGAGUGAUGGGCUCCGAAGCUAACGCGAUAAAUCGACCGCCUGGGGAGUACGGCCGCAAGGUUAAAACUUAAAUAAAUUGACGG
rnacentral:rRNA from 1 species